AUUUUCCAAAACAUUGUCAGAAGCCCUGCACUAGUACUUCCAAAUUAACGACAUCCCAGAUGUACACCCGACCACUGUGGGGCAAGCACAUAAGGCGGUCAUUAGAGGCCUUAUCAUCAGUCGAGCCUCCUACCUAAAAAAGAAAACACAACAAGAACACUUACACCUGCUGCGCACCCUAAGAGACACGACAGCAGCGAACAUAGCAAACCCCACACCACAA